ensembl:lncRNA
GAAGAGACCAGAGUCUGAUAUUCCACGUGUUCAGUUUGCUCAGAAUUAUCCAGUGGACCUGUCCUCAAUAUUCAGGGUGAGCUACGCAAUUAAACAUGUACAUUUAAAAAAAACGAUUUGACAGUUUUUAAAAGUGCAAUUAAAACAGCCUUUUAAUUUGUAAUUCCUUUGAACUGUUUCAGUCACUUGAGGAUGAUGUAACUUUUAUGAGGGAUGAGCUGGGAAAAAAACUGCAUUGUUGGUUAAGGGUUUGAGUUUCAGUAUGUGUUUGAGAGAGUAGCUGAGCAAGGAAACCCAACCCUUUUAAAGAAGAUCUACAUAGAGCUCUGCAUUACAGAGGGUGAAAGUGGCGAGGUCAACAUCAAGUGAGACAGCAUCAAAGAAACCAGCGACACAGAUGCCGUCAGGCUCAGAUCGGACCCAGAGACAGCGCACACACUCCUCUUUCUGUAUGAGAACAGAAUAGUGACAUGGGUGGGAGAGAAGCAGCCAUAUCCUGACCAUCCAGAAAGGUUUGAGCCCUCACAAUGUGCUGCGUGGAGAGAGUCUGACUGGAUGCUGCUCCUGGGGGACAGAGUGAAGAGGACGGGCUCAUGUAGGAGUGACAUAUGAAAGGAUCAGAUGGAAAGGAGAGCAUGAUGACUCUCUCCAUGGAUACUAUGACAAAUCCUGGAUUCUAAAGUGCCCUGGUGGCAAUUAUACUGCCUGUCAUAAUAGGAAGGGUAGUGACAUGCAUGUCUUCUACUCUCGCUCCGACACAGUAGGAGUGUAUCUGGACAGAGUCAAUUGUAACACACUGAUCCACCUGCACACAUAAUACCCGGCAGUCACUGAGCCUCUCUACCCAGGGGUUUGGGUUGGCGUUCACGCCUCAGUGUCCCUGUGCCAAGUAGAACUCCGCGUCCUGUGUCCAGAAGGAACACCUUCAGGAAAGUCACACUCCUGUCCAAACACAACUGUGGGACAUGACGGGGCACUUUUUUGCUGUCAUCAUGGCAGACAGCGGGGGCGUUGUACUCGUCUAGUCCAUUCAGUGCAGAUUUGAAUAACCCCUUUCGCAAAGAGACACCUUUUACAACGUAGAUUUGUCUGGAGACAUGGGUUGGACACGUAGCCUCGGGAAGGACGGGUGCUGAAGGUGCUGCAGCACCCCCUGGUGGUGAG